CCCUGAUCGAUCGCGAUCGGGCUUUUGCCGAAACAGAAAGGCCGCUCCUUCGGGAGCGGCCUUUUUUGUUGGGCGGA
rnacentral:sRNA from 1 species